GUUCCUGGGCCAGGAAUGGAACCCAUGCCACAGCAGAGACCCAACCCAUGGCAGAGACAAUACCAGACCCUUAACCUCCAGGCCACCAGGGAACUCCAGAUCCACCCGCGUACCCACCCAACCAUCCACUCAUCUACUCAUCUAUCCAUCCAUCCAUCCACCCAUCUAUCCUCCAACCAUCCAUCCAUCCAUCCAUCCGUUAAUUAACAGGUUCCGAGGCUUGCUAAGGAUCAAACCCUGCAAUGGGCCCUUUGAUGUAUAACAUCUCAGCUGUGGGAGGGAUCAGAGGACUUAAUAUUUAAGUGUGAGAGGCUAAUGACAGCCAUCAGAUCUGACCUGGUGAACCAAGGAUCCGUGUUCCCGUGUUUCAGCACCAGGAGAUCUGGGGAGAGAUUCUCUAGCCUCGCCCUUUAGGCAGCAGCCACUCCUCCAAGGGAGUUCCUGGAACAGGCUUCAGGCUGUGAUGAGAUGGGAGCUGGAGCGCUGGGGGGCCAGGAGUCCAGAGGAGCCACAACAGCAGGGGACUGAGCUGGCUCUGCCGAAGGUUUGGCCUCUACCUGGGCCAGUUGCCCAAGGGGAGGGGUGAGAAUACAGGAUGGCACUCUUUCCUGAAAGCUGGGGCCUGGCAGAGCUCUGCCAUAGCUGGUGCUCAGCAUAGACCUGAGACCAUCACCAGAUAGAGAAAACUCAGGUUUAGAGAGGGGAGGUGACUUGUCCAAGGUCACACAGCCUUGCAGCCAUGGGACUGGGAUAAAGGGUGUGUUUUUCAUCAUCAGGCACAUCUGGUUUGAGGCCUGUUCUGCCUCUCAACCUGCCUGACCUACCUGUUAAUAGGAAAUUACACCUCCCUCUUUUUUGUUCUUUUUUUUUUUUAGAGCCGCACCCGAGGCAUGUGGAAGUUCCCAGGCUAGGGGUCAAUUUGGAGCUACAGCUGCCAGCCUACACCACAGCCACAGCAACACCAGAUCUAAGCCGUGUCUGUGACCUACACCACAGCUCAUGUCAACGCUGGAUCACCAACUCACUGAACGAGGCCAGGGAUCGACUCACAUCCUCAUGGAUGUCAGAUUUGUUUCAACAGGAACUCCUGCACCUCCCUCUUAAGACAGUAGGGCAUGAAAGAUGCCGAGAUGCUGUUAUAAAUUGCUUGGCACAGGACCUGGCAGGGUGCCCACCUGACCUGCUGAGCGGAGAGGUGGGCCCCCGUCUUGGCUGAAAGGCCUCAGACUCAUCCUGUGGCCUCUUCAGCUCUGGGCCUCAUCUCCUCUCUGUCUGCAGUGAGGGCAGGCAGGAGCAGGUCCCCCAGGAGAGAGAGCAGGAAUCCAGCUCUGGCCACUGGGCCUUCUCUUGGCACCAGCAUCUGGGCUGCACAUCUAUCCAGAAGUAGACUGCUUCCUGCCAUGUAUGGCCCCGACUAUUAUGACUGGAUCUGCCACCUGCAUGGGUUGUGCCAGGAUGUCCCAGGAGUGUGGCCCUAGCCACUCUGUCCUUCUGGAGUUUUCCCAGUGGGGCCCUGCCUCGGGGGAACCUAAAGAGGAUGCAGCUUUUUCCCACCCCUGGGGGCCAGACUAACCUCACUGUUACUUUAAUUUUAUUCCCUUCCGCCACAUUUCUUGGCAUGAUAAGGAAUUACAACUCUACAGAAAAAUGUAUUGCAGAAAAGAGGAUGGUUCCCCAGUCCCCAUCCCAGAGACAUGAAUUUUUUUUCUGCUCAUUUUUUUAGGGCUGAACCCCUGGCACAUGGAAGUUCCCAGGCUAGGGGUCAAAUCGGAACUACAGCUGCUGGCCUACACCACAGCCACAACAGUACCACAUCCGGGUUAUAUCUGUGACCUACACCAUAUCUCACAGCAGUGCCAGGUCUAUGACCCACUGAGAGAGGUCAGGGAUUGAACCUACAUCCUCAUGGAUACUAGUUGGGUUUGUUUCCAACGCACCACGAUGGGAACUCCCAGAGAUGUGAAUUUUAAUGUCUGGGUGGUCUUGCUUUUGGAGGAGGGACUAGGGGAUGGGAGGGCAGGGGUGAGACUCCACUUGUAAUAGUUUUGCUUUCUUUCCAAAUCAGAAACUCUCCUGACUCAGGGGCCCCUUAUCCCCCACUGGCCACCUCACAUUCCUCAGACCUCUGACCCUUUAGCCUUGACCUGCUCUCUGGAGCUCAUGCAGGAAAGAGAUCUAUUUUAAAAAGAAAAUCAAAACACAUUUUUAAAAGGUGUUGCUGGAGUUCCCGUCGCGGCGCAGUGGUUAACGAAUCCAACUAGGAACCGUGAGGUUGCGGGUUCGAUCCCUGCCCUUGCUCAGUGGGUUAACGAUCCAGUGUUGCCGUGAGCUGUGGUGUAGGUUGCAGACGCGGCUCGGAUCCUGCGUUGCUGUGGCUCUGGUGUAGGCUGGUGGCUACAGCUCCGCUUCGACCCCUAGCCCGGGAACCUCCAUAUGCCGCCGGAGCGGCCCAAGAAAUAGCAAAAAAGCCAAAAAAAAAAAAAAA
rnacentral:lncRNA from 1 species